rnacentral:misc_RNA from 1 species
AAGUCGUAACAAGGUCUCCGUUGGUGAACCAGCGGAGGGAUCAUUAUAGAGUUUUCUAAACUCCCAACCCAUGUGAACUUACCAUUGUUGCCUCGGCAGAAGCUACCUGGUUACCUUACCUUGGAACGGCCUACCCUGUAGCGCCUUACCCUGGAACGGCCUACCCUGUAACGGCUGCCGGUGGACUACCAAACUCUUGUUAUUAUAUUGUAAUCUGAGCGUCUUAUUUUAAUAAGUCAAAACUUUCAACAACGGAUCUCUUGGUUCUG